rnacentral:lncRNA from 1 species
GCUGGAUGGGCCCCUCGUUGGUGCUCGCUGGACCACGCUCACAGAUGCGCCCAAGAACGCUCGCGUGCGGCGGAAACAAGUCUGGACUGGGCGAGGGCGAGCUAAGUCCACGAGUCCUAUGUGCCUGGGAGGACAGGUCUUCGAAUAAAUAAAACUGUAUACGCUACUAAGCGAAACUACUCGCCUAGCUCAAUGGUAAGUCGCUUCCUCUGGUUGUAGGAGCUCUCAGGUUCGAGCCCUCCCUACAACAGAAUUUUUUUGAAUGGCGCCUGGGAGGGAGCUCAACAGUGGGCUGGCAUAUUGGGCUGAGAGCACACGGGUGGGUGCGUGGCCCAAAUCAAAAGCAGCAGCAGGCUGAGAAAAAAAUAUAGGAAAAAACAAACAAAAAACUAUCCAAUGAAAAUUAGACAUGCCAACAUGGACAAGAGUACUUUAAAUAUUUCUAAAAAUAUUUUUUCACACCCAACCUAUGUCAAUUGUUUAUGACAUUUAUAAAUUAGGCCUCAUGACAUAGUGAAUAUUGUCAUAGUAUGG